AUUGAACGCUGGCGGAAUGCUUUACACAUGCAAGUCGAGCGGCAGCGCGGUCUUCGGACUGGCGGCGCGCGGCGAACGGGUGAGUAAUACAUCGGAACAUGCCUAGUCGUGGGGGAUAACACGUCGAAAGAAGUGCUAAUACCGCAUACGUCCUGAGGGAGAAAGCGGGGGAUCGCAAGACCUCGCGCGAUUGGAGUGGCCGAUGUCAUAUUGGCUAGUUGGUGGGGUAAAGGCCUGCAAAGGCAACGAUCUGUAGCUGGUCUGAGAGGAUGAUCAGCCACAAUGGCACUGAGACACGGCCCAGACUCCUACGGGAGGCAGCAGUGGGGAAUUUUGGACAAUGGGGGCAACCCUGAUCCAGCCAUUCCGCGUGAGUGAAGAAGGCCUUCGGGUUGUAAAGCUCUUUCGGCAGGAACGAAACGGCGAGCGCUAACAUUUCUAGCUAAUGACGGUACCUGAAGAAGAAGCACCGGCUAACUACGUGCCAGCCGCCGCCGUAACAC
rnacentral:rRNA from 1 species